AUCAGUAGCCGGUCUGAGAGGAUGAACGGCCACAUUGGGACUGAGACACGGCCCAGACUCCUACGGGAGGCAGCAGUGGGGAAUCUUCCGCAAUGGACGAAAGUCUGACGGAGCAACGCCGCGUGAGUGAAGAAGGUCUUCGGAUUGUAAAGCUCUGUUAUACGGGACGAAAAAGACGGAUGCCAACAGUACCCGUCCGUGACGGUACCGUAAGAGAAAGCCACGGCUAACUACGUGCCAGCAGCCGCGGUAAAU
rnacentral:rRNA from 1 species